rnacentral:lncRNA from 1 species
ACUCACAUAAUUGACAAGUAAUAACAGUACCCAUCUUUUUAUUCAAUUGAAAAUAACAAAAAACAAUAAUGUCGUUUGCACUUAACCACUGUAAUCAGGGUUUCUCCCGUAUUGAGGGACAUUAAGAAGAUCAAGAUCAUUCACAACGUCGUCGUCACCGGCACUAAAAAGAAUUCCGAAACCCUCCGACCAAUUGCUCUUACCUGAAAGUUUCAUAUUAGAAAAUAAAUAUUCAUAAAUGCAUAUAUUAAAAUAAGAACUAUAAAUGAUAUCCAACUGAAAUCAGCCUAUAAACCUGCACAAGCCGUUUCCAUAUUCUUCAAAAUUAGAAAGAUCUCUGCUUUCGGGAUCAAACACAAAAAGUAAUCAACAGUUGCUUUUGCGAGUUCUUGCUUCUGAUUUAAUUAAAUAUACAUGCAUGCAUAUAUAUAGGGAGAAUAAAGUAACCAUUGCGGAUUACACCGAGACUAAUCAAAAUAUUAUUUUUGACUAUUCUUUCAAAGUCGCAUUCAUCCUCUCUACUUGGCCAUCUGUUCUGUGGAUGAUUUUCAUGCUGACGACAGUGCCAACGUGGUUGAUUAAUUACUAGCUAUUAGCAAUUAUAUUAUCUUUUCUUUCAAAAUAUAAAUUUAAUUUGGAAAACGUGGCCAGAACGUGGAUGAGUUUCAAAGAAAAAUGGUGCCGCCGGUGCUGAUUCUGAAGAAAGAGACGUGCCGCAUUCUUUGAAUUAUGAAGCCAAAAUUGCUGAAUUUGACAAAAGCCAAUAUCUGGAAAGGAGGCUCCAUUUGAGAGCAAUUGCAUCCCGAUUCUUUGUAUUCGACAGAAAAAGACAAAAGAAAGAAGAAAAAAUUGUGAGUUUGUGAAGUGGAAAAAAUCAAAUUUUCAUGUAUAACUGGUAUUUUCAAGUGUACUUUCUUAGCCAUCGAUGAGGACAGCAACUGAUCCCACCUCUUCCAAGCAGUAAAAGGUGGAUUCUCUUGUGACUCAUCAGAGGGAUUUUCAGCUUCUUGAAUAAGAAAUCGAUGCGGACAGAUUUAGUUUCUAUUAAGAAGACCUUCAAGUCCAUUAGCACAAACUGAAGAAAGGGAUCUGAGAUUUCCAGAGCGUAUAGUUAGAUCUGUCGAAUUUGAUUGGAUUUUUUAAUUAUAAAAGAUGAAGUAGAUUGAUUUGUGUUUGAAUUCGUGUUUGAGGAAGCCAUAGCAGAGUAGAUUGAGCUCUGAUACCAAGUUAAGAACCGAUAUUAUGGUGUUUGGACGCAGAGAAAAUGUGAGAGUCAGAGAGAAAAUGUAAGCCAGAGUUGAGAGAAAAUGAAGAAUGGAGAUGUAACAAAUUCUAGAAUAUUAUACUCGCUGACUCAGCCUACACAUUACCGUCUCUAACAAACUUAACAAACUCACACGUGUAACCAGCUCACUAAUUAUCUUAACAAUCUAAAUUAGAAAAUGUAAAGAAAAAAUAAUUAUUGAUUCAAUCAAAUUUAAAAGUUAAAUUUAUACAAAAUCUUAACGAUUAAAUUUAUGCAAAAUUCUAAUGACGUAAAAAGAACAAAUCGAGAGUUUUGAAAUCGACAAAUUAAACGUAAUUUUGGAGUUGACGGGCAUAAUCAGAGAAAAUAAGGGUUAAAUAAAUCUAGUUGAAUUGGCCGAAUGAAUGCUUCGAAUAUUUGCAAAUGCUCCUUUUCUUCUAGCAGAGUUUUGUUUGGAUCUGUCUUCGUUGGCCCAAGUUUAAGCAGAUUUUGUUUGUAUAGACUAUAGAAAAAUGAAAAACCAUCGUCUUUGGGUAUUAUAUUUGACACCGUUAGUAUUUCAUUUUAAACUUACCUUUCUUCAUCACUUGAUAUUGUUUAAGACACUGAAUUAGGAUUCAAGAGAAGAUAAUUAUAUGUUGAAUGGGUGUGCAAGAUAAUUAUAAAAUGAAAAUUUUUUGUACUCAUUUCUUUAAUACUACUAAUAAGGUUUGGGCUAUACGAAAAAAAAAAAAGAAUUUUAAGGGAAGUUAAUUAUGUGUUGAAUGGUUGUGCACGAUAAUUAUAAGAUGAUUUUUUUUUUUUUUUGUAUAACUAUAUGUUGAAUGCGCGUGCAAGAUAAUACAUGAUGAAAAAAUUGUCUUCAUUUCUUUAAAACUACUAAUAAGGUUUUGGGGUUAGGAAAUUUGUCGCACUGAAGAUUAAAAAAAAAGAUUUUGUCUUUUUUAAUUUAAUUAUUAGCAUCCUCUUAGUUGUAUAUAGUUUGUAGAAAAGUGUUUUAAUACUUGUAACAGAAAGAAAAUUGAAGUUAUCCAACCUUCGAAUAUUUCUUAUUCUAGGUAAAUUUCUAGUUAUUCUUCGUGAAAUGACAAUUUCAAAAUAUCCCAAAUUAUAGUAGAUUUCAACUCACUUUUUUUUUCCCAAAAAGAUAAGGAAAAAUGGAGCUGGAUUGAUGAAUUUUUUUUUUUUUUUUUUACAGAAAUGGGGGUAAGUUGAAAUUUACAAUAAUUUAAAAAUAUUUUGAAUUUGUCAUUUCACAAAAGGGAUAAUCUGAAAUUAAUCGUGAUAUUAACAAAUAAUGGUCAGAUGAUAGAGACCAUAUAUACUGACGAGAGGUUUUUAACUCUACAUUUAUUCAAAGACCAAAAUUCUAUAACUUUCGUUUCUUUUUAACAAAAUAAUUAACAAAUUAUUAGUGAUUAUGGCUGAAAGUCAAGUUGAUAAACCCACAAAACAACAUGGCUACUUUGACUAUUUUAAAAGCUGAAAUUAUAAAUUUACUCCGUAUAUUUAAAAAAUUAGGAUGAAGGAUCAGUUUCUAGUGCAAGAAUUAGCUAACCACUAUGCGGAGUUUGUUUAAAAAAAAGAACCAAGAAGAUCCAUCAUCAUUAAGUCAGCAAGCAUGGACUAAAUUAAUCAACACAUAAUUAGCACACCAUAAUUUUAUUUAUUAAUUUUCUUUUCAGUAAAACACAGAACUACAUGAAAGUAAAGAAAGAAAAGCUCUCGCAUGUAUCAAGAGAUCUUAACCAUGCUCACACAAUUGAUACAUAAUAAUAGUACCGUCUUGUUAUUCAAUUGAAUAUAACACAAAACAGCAAAGUUGCUUGCACUUAACCACUGUAAUCAGGGUUUCUUCCAUAUUGAGGGACAUUAAGAAGAUCAAGAUCAUUCACGAUGUCAUCAUCACCGGCACUAAAAAGAAUUCCGAAACCCUCCGACCAAUUGCUCUUACCUGAAAGUUUCAUAUUAGAAAAUAAAUAUUCAUAAAUGCAUAUAUUAAAAUAAGAGCUAUAAAUGAUAUCCAACUGAAAUUAGCCUAUAAACCUGCACAAGUAGUUUCCAUGAUCUUCAAAAUCAGAAAGAUCUCUGUUUCCGGAAUCAAAACUCAAAGAGUAAUCAAUAGUUGCUUUUGCGAGUUCUUGC